rnacentral:rRNA from 1 species
GUCUACGGCCAUGCCACCCUGAACAAGCCUGAUGUCUGAUCUUGGAAGCUAAGCAGGGUCGGGCCUGGUUAGUACUUGGAUAGGAGACCACCUAGGAAGACUAGGUACUGUAGGCA